rnacentral:lncRNA from 1 species
GAGCCGGAAGAGGAGAUACGGAGUAAGUAUCCUCAGCUCUUUCCAGAUUCUGUUAAGUAAAUUUCGGGAACGAAAUUUCUUUUAAGGGGGGUAAGAUGUAAUACCCGUAUCUAAUUAAUUUAAAUUAGAAUUUAAAUAUGUGGCCAUGAUUGUAGUUUUGUGAUAAAUCCGUUAUUAAAUAUUUUUGAUUUAUUUGUACCGUCGGAUUAAGCAGAUUUGGUUGGAUUUGAUUUUCAGAUUAAUUAUACUCUAAUACUAGUUAGAGUAGGAUUGAGAUUUA